AUGGCCCAAUCAGUGGAGGAGGAAAAGAUUUCUUUCCCAAGCCAGUGCAAGUCUGACCCAUUUGGUUUAAACAGAACCAUUGUGUAUGGAAAAGAAACUUUUGCUGACCAUCCCCACAUCAGAGCUCAGCCUGCUUUUGCUGAUAAUUCAACCAUUCUCCAACGCAACGUUAUACCAGCAGAAAACCUCAGUCCUAAUGAACCCUUGGCAUCGCAGGAAAGAUCUAACCAGCGACUGAAUGAUGUUUUCAUUGACAUGGAUGAAACUGCAGACCCAGUGCCUUCGCCAUGGUGGAUGAACUAUAUGAAGAAAGGACUGAAGAUCAUGCUGCCAUUUUUAGUUUAUAAAAUUUUUAGUUACAUGGUAACUAAAAUAUUGUAAAAAUGUUUAAAUAUUGAAAAUAAAAGUAAAAGUAAAUUAGAGUUAUAAUUUUAA
rnacentral:lncRNA from 1 species